UACGUAGGGUGCAAGCGUUAAUCGGAAUUACUGGGCGUAAAGCGUGCGCAGGCGGCUUUGCAAGACAGAUGUGAAAUCCCCGGGCUUAACCUGGGAACUGCAUUUGUGACUGCACAGCUGGAGUGCGGCAGAGGGGGAUGGAAUUCCGCGUGUAGCAGUGAAAUGCGUAGAUAUGCGGAGGAACACCGAUGGCGAAGGCAAUCCCCUGGGCCUGCACUGACGCUCAUGCACGAAGCGUGGGGAGCAAACAGG
rnacentral:rRNA from 1 species